GGAGCGAACGGGAUUAGAUACCCCGGUAGUCCGCGCAGUAAACGAUGUAUGCUAGGUGUGGGGGGUAUCGAGCCCCUCCGUGCCGACGGUAACCCAAUAAGCAUACCACCUGGGGAGUACGGUCGCAAGGUUAAAACUCAAAGGAAUUGACGGGGGCCCGCACAAGCAGCGGAGCGUGUGGUUUAAUUCGAUGCAACGCGAAGAACCUUACCUGGGCUUGACAUGACGGUGUAAGGGCUGGAAACAGCCCCCCCUUCGGGCACCGCCACAGAUGUUGCAUGGCUGUNGUCAGCUCGUGUCGUGAGAUGUUGGGUUAAGUCCCGCAACGAGCGCAACCCUCGUGGUNUGUUGCAAAUCAGGCCAGACUGCCUNUCACAGAGGAGGAAGGUGGGGAUGACGUCAAGUCCGCAUGGCUNUUACGUCCAGGGCUACACACACGCUACAAUGGCCGGUACAAUGAGCAGCCACGGGGCGACCCGGAGCGAAUCUCCAAAGCCGGUCUCAGUUCGGAUACCAGGCUGCAACU
rnacentral:rRNA from 1 species